ACCUGGCUGGCUCAGUUGGUUGAGUGUGUGACUCUUGAUCUCAGGGUUGUAAGUUUGAGCCCCACGUUGGGUA
rfam:Felis catus isolate Cinnamon breed Abyssinian chromosome B1, whole genome shotgun sequence.